rnacentral:lncRNA from 1 species
GGCUGCACCUGCAGCAUAUGGAGGUUCCCAGGCUAGGAGUCAAAUCAGAGCUGUAGCCAACAGCCUAGCCAUAGCCAGAGCAAUGCUGUAUAAGAGCUAAAUCUGCGACCUACACCACAGCUCAUUGCAAUGCCAGAUCCUUAACCCACUGAGCAAGGUCAGGGAUCAAACCUGUCUUCUCAUGGAUGCUAGUCAGAUUGAUUUUCACUGAGCCAUGACGGAAACCACCAAAGAGCUUUUAUUUAUUUAUUUAUUUAUUUAUUUAUUUAUUUAUUUUUGUCUUUUUGCUACUCUUUGGGCCACUCCUGCAGCAUAUGGAGGUUCCCAGGUACAAAAGCCCUCUACGUCCCCCCGCUGUUUGUAGAAAAAGACUUUAUGAACCCUCCUAGGCCAUCUCUGAGUCCAAAGAGCUGCCUCUAGCAGUUGCUAUUUGGGGAAGUAAGGGAAUGCAGAAACAAAGGAAAAGCAGUUAAGUAAAAGAAGUAAGAACAGCAAUGAGAUGCUGCUGCAUAGCACAGGAAACUGUAUCUAGUCACUUGAGAUGGAACAUGACGGAGGAUAAUGUGAGAAAAACAAUGCGUGUGUGUGUGUAUGAUUUUAUACAGCAGAAAUUGACAGAACAUUUCAAAUCAACUAUAAUUUAAAAAAACUGAAAAAAAAAAAAAGAUAGCUUAAGCAAUAUUCAGUCCUAGCUCCUUCUCAAGGGAUAUACAUAACAAUCUGAUACAAAUUUUCGGCUGUCACACAGAAAAUAAGACCUUGACCCAGGUGGAGGACAAUAACUACAAACUGACUACAACACAAGCACAGAGACCCAGCAGGUGGUUAAGAUUCCUGAAAACAUCUCCUUGUUAACUUACCACCCACCAAUCAAAAGAGAGUCACACACCCUGCAGCCCUCACCCCCGAUUCUGCAUAUAAAACCUUUCCCUUUUGGGAAAGGUUUUUUGAACCACUGGGGAGUUCCGGGUGUGGGGGCACAAGCCAUCCAUUCUCCUUGCUUGGCCCUACAAUAAAUCUUUCUGUACUCCAAACUUUCAACAUUUCAGUUUAUUUAGCCUGACUGUACAUCAGGAACGCAAAGUCUAAUGGAAUAGCGCCCUGUGGGGCUCCUGGGCACACAAGCCUUUCUGUGUCCUCCAUUUCUCGUUUUUAGGGAAUAAGCCUCAGCCUCCAUGACCUUCCUGAGUUCCAAAGGUCAGUAGCUAAUCAGGGAAGGGAGAGGAGCGGUGGAGAGACUAUAGUGCAGCCUUGGGGCAGGGUCCUGGUUCCUCCUCAAGGAAUAUACCUAACGGUAUCUUUGAGCCUUUCUGCAGAACUAAAACCCCCAACAGAUGGAAGAACUACUUGAUGGAGCAGUUUUCAUUCUGGGAAAGAGGACCACCAGAAUCAGUCCUGGGGGUCACUAAACACCAACUUUGAAAGACAAAGCAAGUUCACCUCUAUCCUGAUCCUUAUCUAUGGCCCUAUUUUCCACUCCCCAACCUAUAAAACCAUCUCCUAAUUCCUUCCAAGGGGGGCACAGUCUUUAGGGCAUUAGCCGGCUGUGGCCUCCUUUGCCUGGCAAAGCAAU